rnacentral:rRNA from 1 species
UACGUAGGCAGCAAGCGUUGUUCGGAAUUACUGGGCGUAAAGAGUGUGUAGGUGGUGUCGUAAGUUUGGUGUGAAAUCUCCCGGCUUAACUGGGAGGGUGCGCCGAAGACUGCGAUGCUGGAGUAUGGGAGAGGAAAGCGGAAUUCCUGGUGUAGCGGUGAAAUGCGUAGAUAUCAGGAGGAACACCGAUGGCGAAGGCAGCCUCCUGGGAUAACACUGACGCUCAUGCACGAAAGCGUGGGGAGCAAACAGG